rnacentral:rRNA from 1 species
GUAACAAGGUUUCCGUAGGUGAACCUGCGGAAGGAUCAUUAAAUUACAA